rnacentral:rRNA from 1 species
UACAGAGGUCCCAAGCGUUGUUCGGAUUCACUGGGCGUAAAGGGUGCGUAGGUGGUGGGGUAAGUCGGAUGUGAAAGCUCGGAGCUCAACUCCGAAAUGGCAUUGGAAACUACCCUGCUAGAGGAUUGGAGGGGGGACUGGAAUACUUGGUGUAGCGGUGAAAUGCGUAGAUAUCGAGAGGAACACCUGCGGCGAAGGCGGGUUGCUGGGCUGACACUGACGCUGAGGCGCGAAAGCUAGGGGAGCGAACGGG